rnacentral:rRNA from 1 species
GACGAACGCUGGCGGCGUGCCUAAUACAUGCAAGUAGAACGCUGAAGAGAGGAGCUUGCUCUUCUUGGAUGAGUUGCGAACGGGUGAGUAACGCGUAGGUAACCUGCCUUGUAGCGGGGGAUAACUAUUGGAAACGAUAGCUAAUACCGCAUAACAAUGGAUGACACAUGUCAUUUAUUUGAAAGGGGCAAUUGCUCCACUACAAGAUGGACCUGCGUUGUAUUAGCUAGUAGGUGAGGUAAUGGCUCACCUAGGCGACGAUACAUAGCCGACCUGAGAGGGUGAUCGGCCACACUGGGACUGAGACACGGCCCAGACUCCUACGGGAGGCAGCAGUAGGGCAUCUUCGGCAAUAGGGGCAACCCUGACCGAGCAACGCCGCGUGAGUGAAGAAGGUUUUCGGAUCGUAAAGCUCUGUUGUAAGUCAAGAACGGGUGUGAGAGUGGAAAGUUCACACUGUGACGGUAGCUUACCAGAAAGGGACGGCUAACUACGUG